UACGUAGGUGGCAAGCGUUAUCCGGAUUUACUGGGUGUAAAGGGCGUGUAGGCGGGACUGCAAGUCAGAUGUGAAAAUUAUGGGCUCAACCCAUAACCUGCAUUUGAAACUGUAGUUCUUGAGUGAUGGAGAGGCAGGCGGAAUUCCGUGUGUAGCGGUGAAAUGCGUAGAUAUACGGAGGAACACCAGUGGCGAAGGCGGCCUGCUGGACAUUAACAGACGCUGAGGCGCGAAAGCGUGGGGAGCAAACAGG
rnacentral:rRNA from 1 species